ensembl:lncRNA
AGAAAAUAUACAAUUUCCUCGUUUAUUGCGCCCCCUAAUGGCGAAAUUUUCCGAAAUUUUUAUCGUACGACAUUAAGGUUGGCACCAACAUGUGUGUACAAUUUGUACUCGUUCCGAUGUCUAAUUUUGGAUUUCUUUGGAUUUUUGAUUUUCCACGUCUAAUUUAGCUCAUAAACCAAUAUUCAAAACGCUACCGUUUCAUCGUCGAAGGUCGGAUCAAAAAACUGUCUCACGAUUCCUUUGCGUGUGCGUCUGAAGAUGUCGUGUGCAAAGUUUGGUGUCGAUUGGUCAAGAAAUGUGGGAGGAGUAGGGAAAAAACAGUUUUGCGGUUU